rnacentral:rRNA from 1 species
AUUGAACGCUGGCGGCAUGCUUUACACAUGCAAGUCGAACGGUAACAGGCCGCAAGGUGCUGACGAGUGGCGAACGGGUGAGUAAUGCAUCGGAACGUGCCCAGUCGUGGGGGAUAACGCAGCGAAAGCUGUGCUAAUACCGCAUACGAUCUAAGGAUGAAAGCGGGGGACCGGAAGGCCUAGCACGAUUGGAGCGGCCGAUGUCAGAUUAGGUAGUUGGUGGGGUAAAGGCCUACCAAGCCGACGAUCUGUAGCUGGUCUGAGAGGACGACCAGCCACACUGGGACUGAGACACGGCCCAGACUCCUACGGGAGGCAGCAGUGGGGAAUUUUGGACAAUGGGCGCAAGCCUGAUCCAGCAAUGCCGCGUGCAGGAAGAAGGCCUUCGGGUUGUAAACUGCUUUUGUACGGAACGAAACGGUCUGGGUUAAUACCCUGGGCUAAUGACGGUACCGUAAGUAUAAGCACCGGCUAACUACGUGCCAGCCGCCGCGGUAAGAC